CCUACGGGUGGCUGCAGUGGGGAAUAUUGGGCAAUGGGCGCAAGCCUGACCCAGCCACGCCGCGUGAGUGAUGAAGGCCUUCGGGUCGUAAAGCUCUGUGGGGAGAGACGAAGAAGUUGGAGUUAAUGGCUCCAGCGGUGACGGUAUCUCCUUAGCAAGCACCGGCUAACUCCGUGCCAGCAGCCGCGGUAAUACGGAGGGUGCAAACGUUGCUCGGAAUCAUUGGGCGUAAAGCGAGCGUAGGCGGCCUACUAAGUCGGGUGUGAAAGCCCUCG
rnacentral:rRNA from 1 species